rnacentral:rRNA from 1 species
UAGUCCACGCCGUAAACGAUGGUCACUAGCUGUUCGGAUUUCGAUCUGAGUGGCUAAGCGAAAGUGAUAAGUGACCCACCUGGGGAGUACGUUCGCAAGAAUGAAACUCAAAGGAAUUGACGGGGGCCCGCACAAGCGGUGGAGCAUGUGGUUUAAUUCGAUGAUACGCGAGGAACCUUACCAGGGCUUAAAUGUAGGUUGACAGGCUGAGAGAUCGGUUUUUCUUCGGACAACUUACAAGGUGCUGCAUGGUUGUCGUCAGCUCGUGCCGUGAGGUGUCAGGUUAAGUCCUAUAACGAGCGCAACCCCUGUUGUUAGUUGCCAGUGAGUAAUGUCGGGAACUCUAACAAGACUGCCGGUGCAAACCGCGAGGAAGGUGGGGAUGACGUCAAAUCAUCACGGCCCUUACGUCCUGGGCCACACACGUGCUACAAUGGUAUGGACAGAGAGCAGCCACUAGGUGACUAGGAGCGAAUCUACAAACCAUAUCACAGUUCGGAUCGG